rnacentral:lncRNA from 1 species
GGGGAAGAAGGUUCCCCUUCGGGGAUGAACUAAAGGGGAAGAAGGGGGUUCCCCUUUAGGGGAAGAACUUUAGUUCCCCUUUAGGGGAUGAUGCCGAAGGGUGUCAUCUUCUUUGGGUAACCCAAAGGGGAUAAACAAAGGGAACCCAAAGGUUCCCGGAGGGUAUCACUUCCCCCUUCGGGUUGUCUGUCCCCCUUGUUCAUCCCCUAAAGGGGAACUAAAGGGGAUGGGGGAACAAAAAGGUUGUCCCCCUUUAGUUCCCCUAAAGGGGAUGAACCAAAGGCUCUAAGAGUUUGGUGGUCCUCUUUGGGUGUCUUUGGUUCCCCUUUAGUUCAUCCCCGAAGGGGAACCUUCUUCCCCUUUAGGGGACUCCGUCCCCUAAAGGGGAAGAAGGGGAACACCCCUUCGUCUCCCCUUUGGGGAACACUAAAGGGGAAGAAGAAGAAGAAGAAGAAGAAGAAGAAGAAGAAGAAGAAGAAGAAGAAGAAGAAGAAGAAGAAGAAGAAGACCAGAGGGGACAGGGCAUAACUUGACGAGGGGGGGGGGACAGCCAACCAACCGGCCUUAAGCCGGAUACUAUAACGUAGUAACAGCCAACAUAUUAACAUAUAGCUUCAACUUGGCUGCAGAGCAGCUGCUUCUAAACUUCACUAAACCAGAGCGUCAGCGUCAGCCACGUGAGCUACUUAAGUUUGUCCAUCCCGAAGGGGGGGGCUUACUUUAACGUAAUUAUGCUACAGAACUUAUCUUGUGAGGGACUCUGGCCCGAACAAAGGUAAACAAUAUAUGGUGUUAAGCCUAGUUCUCUUUUAGGGGCGAAGCCCCCCGCGAAAUAGUAAUGUAGCUUAUGUUAUUAACCACAUUCAACUACACAGGACUCUAAACUACACAGGACUCUCGCUACUGUAGUCCGUUGUGAGUAUUGUCUUUUAGACGCAGGCCGUUGGCACUACUCUAGGUGCUAGAAAUACGCUGUAACUUGUGAGCGGGUUGUCUUCCCCUAAAGGGGAACAAACUUCGGUUCCUUGUCAUCCCCCUAGGGGAAACCAAAGGGUUACCUUGUCCCCUUGUCCCCCUCUGGUUUCCCGAACGGGAAGGGGGUCCCAAGGGUUGUCCCCCUUCUGAACCCUUUGGUUGUCUUCCCCGAAGGGGACAAGAAGGGGACCCCAAGGUUGUUACCCUCCCCCUUUGUCUCUUUUUCCCCUUAAAGGGGACCCCGUGGUCAUCGUCCCUAAAGGGGAAGAGCACUAAAGUGCUCUUCUUCUUCCCCUAAAGGGGACUAAGUUUCCCCUAAAGGGGAUGAACUAAAGGGGACCCCCUUUAGUUCCCCUUAGGGGGAUGAACUAAAGGGGAAGACGACAUCCCCGAAGGGGGAACAUCAUCGUCUUCCCCUUUGGGGAACCCCUUCGUUUUCACUAAAGGGUUGUCUUCUUUAGGGUUGUCUUCUNUAGUUCGUCUUCUUUAGGGGAACCAAAGGGGAAGAACCAAAGUCUUCCCCUAAAGGGGAACCCCUUCUUCCCCGUUAGUUCCCCCUAAAGGGGAAGAAGAACACUAAAGUUCCCCUUUAGGGGAUGAUGAACUAAAGGGGAUGGGGAACAAAGAAGACAGACAACCCUUUGGUAACCCAAAGGGGACAACCCAAAGGGGUUCCCCUUUAGGGGAAGACAACCCUUUGGUUCAUCCCCUAAAGUUCUUCCCCUUUAGGGGAAGAAGAACUAAAGGGGAGCCCAAAGAAGAUGACAACCCUUUGGUUCCCCUUUAGGGGACGAUGACGAAGUAUGAAAAGCUAGGUGAACUGCACCAGUACGUUGUGGCCUACGGCCGUUAGGUGAUCGUAGACGUUUUUUAUCCCCCUUCGGGGAAAGAGCUUCGCCCGUUGUUGUGAGGAACGUGUGCGCUCGGUUAAGUUAGGUGCACUGCACCGACAAGCGAAAGGUAGAUUUAGUUAUUUUAUUCUGGGCCUCCGUCCCUUCGUUAGAUUUGUUACACAGUAACAUAAAAAUUUCCAAACUAAGCACAACACAAGCGCGUCCCCCGAAGGGGAACCUUUGGUUAUCCCCCUUCGGAAACCCUUUGGUUUAUCCCCUAAAGUUCAUCCCCGAAGGGGAACCCCUUCGUCUUCUUCCCCGAAGGGGACCCCUACGUCAUCCCCGAAGGGUAACCCCUUUGGUUCUUCCCCAUAGUCUCCCCAAAGUCUCCCCGAAGAAGAGACUUUGG